GACGUAGGAGGCGAGCGUUAUCCGGAUUCACUGGGCGUAAAGCGCAUGUAGGCGGUUCGAUAAGUCCGCUGUUAAAGCCCCCGGCUCAACUGGGGGAGGUCAGUGGAGACUAUAGGACUUGAGGGCAACAGAGGCACGUGGAACUCCCGGUGUAGCGGUGGAAUGCGUAGAGAUCGGGAAGAACACCAGUGGCGAAGGCGACGUGCUGGGUUGCGACUGACGCUGAAGAUGACGAAGUGGUGGGGAGCAAAACGGGG
rnacentral:rRNA from 1 species